UCGAGAUGUAUGGUCCCAAUGUACGGUGGGAAUCGAUCCUACUUGCUAAAUGUUUGAUGGUUUUGCUAAUUACAGGGGUGGGGUUGGGUGUCGAUUAUCGUGGGGUAAAACCUGGGAACUAUGGUAAUGUUGCAAAUGAUAUUUUAGUAAUUUUUGAAGUGAUGAUAAUAAUUAGAAGUAAAAAAGCUUGCUUAGGUAUCCAAAUCUCCUCUUUUCCCUAAAUGUUUUCAAUGGGUAACGUAUAUAAUGACUGACUGCACAUUGCCAAGUAUAAAAGAGGAGUACAAGGAGGAAAGUGAUUAGUAAAUAGCGUUUUGUCCGUGAAUCGUCCAAGAUGGCCGGCGUCGCGGCGCUAACGAUUUCAGCAAACAUAAUUAUUGAAAGUCGCACAUUCAUAGUGCUAUUUGAUCUUCACACGGAGUAAGGAAGAUAAGCGGAGAUGCCAUAAUGCAGCGAAAACAUUUGCUGUAUCAACUACACUGUGAGUAUAAAGGAAACAUCGAAAUACCUACUGUGAGAAAAGUUUACAAGCGACAAUUUUUUUAAGGAAAAUAGUUUUUACAGGUUAUGAUAAUUGCUGAUAAACUAUGUAAAUGUAAUAAAGUAUACCUUUUA